GGUCAUAUCUCGUUGAAACACCGGUUCCUGUACGAUCACCGAAGUUAAGCAACGUCGAUUCUAGUCUGUUCCUAGAUGGGUGACCGCUUCGGAAUACUAGGU